ACCACCACCACCACGGCCGCCGCCUCCUCUAACACUCCUACCACUGUCUCAAUAACUGGUGGCUUUUUUGUUUCUCUGUUUUCCCGUAUCCUUACUCUUCUCUCUCUCUUUACUCUGAAUCCACUCUCUAAGCUCACCACCGAUGAUUUCUCCGGUCAAACCCCCUGCUGGACCCGCGCUUUUUUCGGCGAGUGUGGGUCCUACUCCUUCCCUUCCGGUAAUGACCAGGCCAGACUCCGGGUUCAUGAGAAUGUUAAGCGUUAUGCCAGAAACUACGCCUCUCUCUUUAUCCUCUUCUGUGCUUGUACUCUGUAUGUUCUCUCUCUCUCUCUUAUUUUAUUUUUUAAUUCCCCUUAAUACCGAUUAUUCUGUGAUAUUUGUUCUGUUUGGCUGCGGAGAAAAUCAAUGAAAUUAAAGAAACAUAGUUGAAUUUGGGUAUGCUUCUUCAAAAUUUGGCUUCUUUGUAAGUUCUAUUACCUUUUCUAUGUUCUCAUUAUGAGUUCUUAACUGCUCGGAGGAAACAAAUGAAAAUCCAAUUUGGGUUUCCUUUUCUUGUUUCAUCAUAUGGGGCAGUCAUCUCAACUAAGUUAAAUGUUGUUUAAGCUAAAUUGAGCAACUUUUUAUUCCUUGGGUUUUACUACAGGAGGAGGCAUUUUAAUGUGUUUGUUAUGGGAUUGGAUUGGUUCUCUGUGUUGUUCCUCUAAUCUCUUAGGCGGGAUUGUAUUUAAUGCUAUCCGUAACAGGAAGGUACAAAUUUAAUCAUUACUAGCUAGGGGUGACAAACAGCAAACCAAUAUCUAGGGACCUUUCUACUAAACAUCUUUUAGGUGUUGGUGAUGACUGAUGAGGAUAGUUAUGUGUUGUUUUCUACUCUUAUUCUUACUGCUCAAUAUUUUCUGUGUUUUGUUACUGGGUUUAUAGGUAUCAAAUGCCAGUUGCUCUCAUAGGAUUGAUAUCAAGUUUGGCACUUUGGGAUAUUUUCAAGUUCUGCAGUGAUAGAUGGGGAUUGGAUCUAUACCCUGCAAUUAGGCAGGUUUUGGUUCGCACUGCUCAGUGUGCUACUGUAGUUAUUCUUGUUUGUUUAAAUGUUCAAAUGGCUCUCUUCUAUGCCCUUGGUGUCAGCUAUGCAGGUAAUAAUUUUAUUUUGUUGUUGUUCCUCUUUUUCCCUGUUUUGAAUAAUGAGGGGAACCUGAAUAGCCACCUUAUCAACCAUAACUUUCCUUUUCUUCCAGUUGAAAGUUAUCUCUGUAUUCCUUUGUAGUUAUGAUUUUGCAUGCCUCAUUUCGGAAGCUGACUCCGGCAGAGCAACCUUCUAGGCGGAGAUAAAAUGGGAAGUUUUUGCAAAAUAGGCAAAGAGACUAUUGGAAAUUCGGCAUUAAUUUGGGGAAUUUUUUUAGCUGCAAGUGAUCAACAGGUUCUGUCCAUUCUGACAUCAAAGGUGUGUUAAUCUUGCAGAUGGCAGUGGCCACUGGCCAGUAAAGCUAGGUGCCUUCAGGUGGGAACAAUCUUUAUAGUUCCAAGCUCAAUUGUAGUGUGAAAUUACAAAUUUUUUACUUCUUUGUUUUUUUUUUUUUUAAUCCUUGUAUCCUAAUGGCUUCUACCAUGCUGAGAAGCCUCGCGCAGCAGGCAAUUCUAUUUUGUGACAUAAUUGAGUUAGGUUCCUAAAUAUAUUUACCAAAAAAAUGAGAAAAAAAAAAAAAGCCUU
rnacentral:misc_RNA from 1 species